rnacentral:rRNA from 1 species
UGGGGAAUCUUCCGCAAUGGGCGCAAGCCUGACGGAGCAAUGCCGCGUGAGUGAAGAAGGCCUUCGGGUUGUAAAACUCUGUCCUCAUCCAAGAGAAGGAAAGGUAGUAACUGACCUUUCCAGGACGGUAGAUGAGGAGGAAGCCCCGGCUAACUAUGUGCCAGCAGCCGCGGUAAAACAUAGGGGGCAAGCGUUGUCCGGAUUUAUUGGGCGUAAAGCGAGCGCAGGCGGUUAGAUAAGUCUGAAGUUAAAGGCAGUGGCUCAACCAUUGUAGGCUUUGGAAACUGUUUAACUUGAGUGCAGAAGGGGAGAGUGGAAUUCCAUGUGUAGCGGUGAAAUGCGUAGAUAUAUGGAGGAACACCGGUGGCGAAAGCGGCUCUCUGGUCUGUAACUGACGCUGAGGCUCGAAAGCGUGGGGAGCGAACAGG